ACUGAACGCUGGCGGCAUGCUUUACACAUGCAAGUCGAACGGUAACAGGCCGCAAGGUGCUGACGAGUGGCGAACGGGUGAGUAAUGCAUCGGAACGUGCCCAGUCGUGGGGGAUAACGCAGCGAAAGCUGCGCUAAUACCGCAUACGAUCUAUGGAUGAAAGCGGGGGACCGUAAGGCCUCGCGCGAUUGGAGCGGCCGAUGUUAGAUUAGGUAGUUGGUGGGGUAAAGGCUCACCAAGCCGACGAUCUGUAGCUGGUCUGAGAGGACGACCAGCCACACUGGGACUGAGACACGGCCCAGACGCCUACGGGAGGCAGCAGUGGGGAAUUUUGGACAAUGGGCGCAAGCCUGAUCCAGCAAUGCCGCGUGCAGGAAGAAGGCCUUCGGGUUGUAAACUGCUUUUGUACGGAACGAAAAGGCUCUGGUUAAUACCUGGGGCUCAUGACGGUACCGUAAGAAUAAGCACCGGCUAACUACGUGCCAGCCGCCGCCGUAACAC
rnacentral:rRNA from 1 species